rnacentral:rRNA from 1 species
AGUGAACGCUGGCGGUAGGCCUAACACAUGCAAGUCGAACGGCAGCACAGUAAGAGCUUGCUCUUACGGGUGGCGAGUGGCGGACGGGUGAGGAAUACAUCGGAAUCUACUUUUUCGUGGGGGAUAACGUAGGGAAACUUACGCUAAUACCGCAUACGGCCUACGGGUGAAAGCAGGGGAUCUUCGGACCUUGCGCGAUUGAAUGAGCCGAUGUCGGAUUAGCUAGUUGGCGGGGUAAAGGCCCACCAAGGCGACGAUCCGUAGCUGGUCUGAGAGGAUGAUCAGCCACACUGGAACUGAGACACGGUCCAGACUCCUACGGGAGGCAGCAGUGGGGAAUAUUGGACAAUGGGCGCAAGCCUGAUCCAGCCAUACCGCGUGGGUGAAGAAGGCCUUCGGGUUGUAAAGCCCUUUUGUUGGGAAAGAAGAGCAGCAGGUUAAUACCCCGCUGUUCUGACGGUACCCAAAGAAUAAGCACCGGCUAACUUCGU